rnacentral:rRNA from 1 species
GAUGAACGCUGGCGGCGUGCCUAAUACAUGCAAGUCGAGCGAACGGACGAGAAGCUUGCUUCUCUGAUGUUAGCGGCGGACGGGUGAGUAACACGUGGAUAACCUACCUAUAAGACUGGGAUAACUUCGGGAAACCGGAGCUAAUACCGGAUAAUAUUUUGAACCGCAUGGUUCAAAAGUGAAAGACGGUCUUGCUGUCACUUAUAGAUGGAUCCGCGCUGCAUUAGCUAGUUGGUAAGGUAACAGCUUACCAAGGCAACGAUGCAUAGCCGACCUGAGAGGGUGAUCGGCCACACUAGAACUGAGACACGGUCCAGACUCCUACGGGAGGCAGCAGUAGGGAAUCUUCCGCAAUGGGCGAAAGCCUGACGGAGCAACGCCGCGUGAGUGAUGAAGGUCUUCGGAUCGUAAAACUCUGUUAUUAGGGAAGAACAUAUGUGUAAGUAACUGUGCACAUCUUGACGGUACCUAAUCAGAAAGCCACGGCUAACUACGUG